GAAAUCUUUGCUAACCUCGAAAUUUCGUUUACACACACACACACACACACACACACACACACACACACAUAUAUAUAUAUAUAGUGAAGAGGGAAAAUAUACAACCAUUCUUUGCUCAAUAGAAAAACCAAUAAAAUUUCUUAGAGCCGCAGCUUAUUGGCAAAAAUGGCACCAAAAGAUAUUAUAAGUCUUAUUAUGAUCUCUGUCUUCUGUUUGGUUUUGUUUCUGCUAGUCUCUCCUGGAACGGCUGGAAGAAAUUUUGACGGCAUACCUAGUUCUGGAGGUGAGUAAUAGUUAAUAUAAUUUAUAUUUUAUUUUCAUGAAUAUUGAAAACAGGUCUGUCCGUCAAGUUGUCAUUUAAUUUUUCAAAGUAGCUGCUCGAUUAUUAAAGUAAAUACUUCCCUCUUUAUGGUUGUCAUUUAAUUUACUUUUUGUUGAUUUUUUUCCCAAUUUUCAUGUUACGGUUUUGCUAGUCAUGUGAGUCAUGCGAUUGUUUAAUGACGAUAGUCAUGCGUCUGUUAAUGAGUGUAUCGUUGUUAUUUGAUGAAGUAAAAUACCUAGUUCUCAUGACUAAAAUGUGACUGCGUGAAAUGAGUAUUUUAUAUAGUCAAAUAACAAAUAUUCUCAUUAAACCAACGCAUAAUUAGCACGUGCUAUGAAAUUGAGAAAAAAUUGAUCAAAGGAAAAUAAUUGACACCAAGUGACAACUGUAAGGAAACAAGUGUUCAAUUUGAUAAUUGAGGGGUUAAUUGAAAAAUAAUUGACAAUCACUACUAAAAAAAAUGGUUAUUUGUGAUGGCCAAAAUUCAUCACAAAAACUAGAAAAAUCAUCACAAAAGGUUUACGUGAUGACUUUAAGCAUCAUAAUGGAUGUCUUGUAUACACCCAUCAUGAAAGAGUUUAAGUGAUGGUUUUGGCAAUUACGCAAACGCUUAGUGCUUUUGUGAUGAUUUAAUACAAUCACAUUAACACGUAAUCUAUUAUGAUUGUAAAAGUCAUCACAAAAAAAACACGAUUUUAGGGAUCAAAGGUAAGAACAUGAAUUUCUAUUUACGCACAAUUUAUUUCACUAUAUUAAUUGUAUCAAAUGAUACAUGUAGGAUUCGAACCAUCUCGUAAUUUGCAAACUAAAUAACGAGUAUUACCACUACACCAAAGUCCAGAUCAUGAUUAUAAUUUUAAAACAAAAUAUUAAAGGAAAUAUAUGUGAGUUGACAUACUAAACAAGAUUACUUCUACAUAAGAUUUGGUGAUUGUGAUGGCAGUCACAAAUACUCUAUAAUGAUGGUAAAAUUAGUCAUCACUGAGAGCCAUCAUAUAUUUUAUUUUUUUGUGAUAACUUGAAAAUUUUAUCACAAAAUAUCUUCUUUUUGUAAUUGUGAAUAAAAGUCGUCACAAAAAUCUAUAUUUUUUUAAUGAUUGUCAUGACCGUCAUAAAAUAUUGUUUUGAUUAUUUCUUAUAUUAAAAUAUUAAUGAUAGCUUAAAUGCAAUCACGAAAAGAGUAUAUUUAUAAGUGAUGACUUAGUGCGUCACAAAAAAAAAAUUUAUUGUAUGUGAAAAUUUUGGUGAUUGACAUGGUCAUCACAAUUAUAAUACAUUGAUGACAAAAUUAAUCAUCACUAAGAACCAUCAUAUAUACUUUUAUUUUAUAAUUGCUUAAAAAGUCCAACACAAAUUACUAUCUUUUAUAAUUGUUUUUAAAAAUUGUCACAAAGUUGUGUCACAUAUUCUUGUUUUUCUAAUAGUAAAUACAUGUGUACACGGAAGCAACUCAGAUCAUGGCCCUGGCCCUCUCGGUGCUGAUUGUAAUUCUGAGCAUGGUUGAUGGAUGGGAAGACUCGAACUGGUUUUGUUUGGUGCUGUUUUGUAGCUCCAUUCAUAUGUUUUGGAUACUUAAGUUACUCUUUUGGUUAUUGUACAUUUGUACUCUCUCCAUUCUGAGAGUAAAUUUGAGACAAUUUCGAUGUUAAAAUUUAAAUGAUUUAUUUAAGUUUUAAAAACAACAUAUUUUUAUUAUAUUUUAGAUAAUAAUUUAUAAAUAUCAUAUUCUGUCAUGCCCUCAACUCCGG
rnacentral:lncRNA from 1 species